GAUGAACGCUGGCGGCGCGUCUUAAGCAUGCAAGUCGAGCGACGCACCUAGCUUGCUAGGUGACGAAGCGGCAGACGGGUGAGUAACGCGUAGGAAUCUACCCCACAGUGGGGGAUAGCCCUCCGAAAGGAGGAGUAAUCCCGCAUAAUCCCGCAAGGGUAAAGGAGCAAUCCGCUGGGGAGGAGCCUGCGUGCUAUCAGCUAGUUGGUGAGGUAAUGGCUCACCAAGGCUAUGACGGCUAGGGGGUGUGAGAGCACGGCCCCCCACAAGGUCACUGAGACACGGGGCCUACACCUACGGGUGGCAGCAACUGAGAAUCUUGCGCAAUGGGCGAAAGCCUGACGCAGCGACGCCGCGUGUGGGAAGAAGUAUUUAGGUAUGUAAACCACUGUGGCAGGGGAAGAAGUAUGACGGUACCCUGCUAGAAAGCACCUGCUAACUACGUGCCAGAAGCCUCGGUAAUACGUAGGGUGCAAGCGUUAUCCGGAUUUACUGGGCGUAAAGCGUUCGUAGGCGGACUAAUAAGUGAUAGGUCAAAGCCCAGGGCUCAACUCUGGAGAGGCUUAUCAUACUGUUAGUCUAGAGUCAGUUUGGGGAGGUUGGAAUUCUCGG
rnacentral:rRNA from 1 species